GUUAGUUGGGAGAUUAAACUAUCUCACUAUGACUCGUCCAGAUAUUGCUUUUGCAGUAAGUAUGGUUGGCCAAUUCAUGUCCGCGCCCACAAUCAAACAUUGGGAGGCUUUGGAGCAGAUCCUAUGUUACUUAAAAGGAGCUCCUGGACUUGGCAUAUUAUAUAGCAACCACGGGCAUUCCUGCAUUGAUUGUUUUGCAGAUGCAGAUUGGGCUGGAUCCAAGAUUGACAGAAGAUCUACUACUGGCUACUGUGUAUUUGUUGGUGGAAACUUGAUAUCAUGGAGAAGUAAGUAACAGAAUGUUGUAUCUCGGUCCAGUGCAGAAUCAGAGUAUAGAGCUAUGGCACAAUCAACAUGUGAGAUAAUGUGGAUAUACCAUCUUUUAACUGAAAUGGGGUUGAAGCAUCCUACUCCAUCAAAGCUCUGGUGUGACAAUCAAGCUGCGCUCCAUAUUGCCUCAAAUCCAGUGUAUCAUGAAAGAAUCAAGCAUAUUGAAGUUGACUGUCAUUUUAUUCGUGAGAAAAUUCAAGAGAACUUGAUUUCCACUGCCUACGUGAAGACAAGAGAGCAACUAGCUGAUUUGUUCACUAAAGCAUUGAAUGGUACUCGAAUUAGUUACCUUCGUAACAAGCUGGGCAUGAUCAACAUAUAUGCUCCAGCUUGAGGGGGAGUAUUAUAGAAUGAAUCUAGACACUUAUUAUAGGAUGAAUCUAGACACUUAUUAUAGAAUGAAUGUAGACUCUUUCUUGUACAUAAAUAGCAGAUUUGUAGGAAUCUCUUUUAUUUCUUUCCUUGGUUAGCAUCUGAUGUACAUGAAUUUAUAUUGCUCACCUCUUGGAAUGAUAACACAAGUUAUUCUUUCUAUUUUGUUCACAAUACUCAUAUGGCGGUGCAGUGCUUUUAUGACGUGGACCUUUUAAGUAGGAAAUGCUCCUUGAUAGUAAGUUUCAGUUGCAAAAAUUGUUCUUUCCAACUGUAGAUGGUUAUGUCUCUUGAGCUAGAUAUAGGCAGCAAAAAUUGUGUAGGAAAUGCUCCUCGAUAGUAAGUUUCAGUUGCAAAAAUUGUUCUUUCCAACUGUAGAUGGUUGUCUCUUGAACUAGAUAUAGGCUGCAAGAUUAGUAUGGUUAUGAAUAACAGUUUGCAAAAAAUUGCGAGACAUAUGAUGUGAAAUUUUUUGUCUCAGGUCAUGAAAAUAGUUAAAACCUUAUUUUGAGAUUCUUUAUCAAGAGUCGGGACUACUGAUGUUGGAGCUAGCAGAAGUAAUCCUCGCUCUCUCUCUUCAACACGUACAUAGUGCAGGAUCAUCGUUAAAACUGAAAGCUCCAACCAGAGAAAUGGAGCAGCCGUCCAUUGCUCUGAUAUUUAUAUAGUCAGUGAUGGUAUAUAUUUGGGAACCAUGGUCUUGUCUCUCUAUCUAUUAUGUAUAAACCAGAUAAAUUUGCAAGCAUUUAUUAGCAUUUCACAUAUUUCUUGUGUCUGGCCAUACUCCAUAGGUUAUAUGGAACCUGAUGUACAUAUGCGAGUUUACAUAGAAUGGGAUAGACCUGCCCAAUUUUGACUGGAGUCGCUGAAUGAUUGUUAUUUAUCACUGUCGUACUUGCAACAGGUGUCGUACUGUUGACCUGAACCUUUCACUGACUUUUGUAGUUUGUAUGGUCCAUCAAAGUGGGAGAUUGUACAGAAAUAGUGUGUAUCUAUGUCUCAAUGAGUAUUUUCGUGUUUCAUUGCUGCAGAAAUCAAUAAAUACAGUCCCUUUGUUCGACAUUUUGUUCUUUUUCCCUGCCGCUGAUCUAUGCUAAUUUGAGAAUUGCAAUAUUCAGUCAGGCAUGUCCAUUGUCAUCCAUGUCAAAAUAAAUUUUAUAUACCAUAGCCUGUAUAAGCAGCACAUAAAGCAUCUCUAAUUUCUCAAUGAUUUUUGUGGGCAUUGAUUUUUCUGUUUCCUGCGUGAAGGUACUCAAUUACCAAGGCUUUCGGCGUUGCCUUCGUGUUAACAUUCUUCAGUGCAUUUGAUGUGCCUGUCUUUUGGCCAAUUCUCCUUUUCUAUUGGAUCGUGCUGUUCACACUUACAAUGAGAAGACAAAUACGACACAUGAUAAAAUAUAAAUAUGUGCCGUUCUCUUUUGGGAAGCAGCGGUAUGAUGUGAAGACAGCAGUUUCAUCAGAAAGUGAAAAUCUUCUCCCUUAGACUGAAACAUACAGGUCCUCAGCAGCUGCUUAUUCUAUGGAAUGCAUCAUGCAGCUGCCGGUUAUCUUUCUUUUCUGCUUCAAUAGCCAAAGAUUUUCUAGGAUAUUUACUGGAAGUGGAAGAAACUGUUAGGGAAUUAGCGUCGAGGCGACGGUCGUUGCUUUGCUUCUGGGCAUUGUUCCUAUGUAUUGAAAUCUUAAAUUUCCAUGUGUGUAGCUUUCUGCAAAUUAUGCUUUACAAGGACCAAUGUCAUACAGUACCUUUGCUCAAUGCUUUUUUUAGUUGUGUGCA